AGUGAACGCUGGCGGCGUGCUUAACACAUGCAAGUCGAACGAGAACGGAUUAUAGCUUGCUAUAAUUGUCAGCUAAGUGGCGCACGGGUGAGUAAUGUAUAGGUAAUAUGCCUCUUACUAAGGGAUAACAAAUGGAAACGUUUGCUAAUACCUUAUACUCCUUAUUAACAUAAGUUAAUAAGGGAAAGAUUUAUUGGUAAGAGAUUAGCCUGUAUUGUAUCAGUUAGUUGGUGGGGUAAUGGCUUACCAAGACUAUGACACAUAACUGGUUUGAGAGGAUGAUCAGUGACACUGGAACUAGGACGCGGUACAGACUACUACGGGAGGCAGCAGUGGGGAAUAUUGCACAAUGGACGAAAGUCUGAUGCAGCAACGCCGCGUGGAGGAUGACACAUUUCGGUGCGUAAACUCCUUUUAUAUGAGAAGAUAAUGACGGUAUUAUAUGAAUAAGCACCGGCUAACUCCGUGCCAGCCGCCGCCGUAA
rnacentral:rRNA from 1 species